AGGGGAGUGAAAAAGAACCUGAAACCUUGUGCUUACAAGCAAUGGGAGCGAUAAGUGACCAUGUACUUUUUGUAGAACGGGCCAACGAGUUAUGGUAUGUAGCGAGGUUAAGUUUUUAAAAGAACGGAGCCGCAGGGAAACCGAGUCUUAAAAGGGCGGCAAGUUACAUGCUGUAGACCCGAAACCGGGUGACCUAUCCAUGUGCAGGUUGAAGCGAGAGUAAAAUCUCGUGGAGGACCGAACUUAUAUCCGUUGAAAAGGGUUAGGAUGACGUGUGGAUAGCGGUGAAAUUCCAAUCGAACUCGGAGAUAGCUGGUUCUCCUCGAAAUAGCUUUAGGGCUAGCCUCAGAGAAAGAUACGCGGGGGUAGAGCACUGAAUGUUCUAGGGGCCUUCACCGGUUACCGAAAACUAUCAAACUCCGAAUACCGCAGUAUUAGCUCUGGGAGUCAGACUACGAGAGAUAAGUUCCGUGGUCAAAAGGGAAACAGCCCAGACCUACAGCUAAGGUCCCAAAAUGUAAGUUAAGUGGAAAAGGAUGUGGAGCUGCAUAGACAACUAGGAUGUUGGCUUAGAAGCAGCCACUCAUUUAAAGAGUGCGUAAUAGCUCACUAGUCGAGUGACUCUGCGCCGAAGAUAAACGGGGCUAAAACUUACUACCGAAGCUUAGGAUACAGUAAUGUAUGGUAGAGGAGCAUUGUAUACGGGCAGAAGCCUGACUGGAAGGGAAGGUGGACUGUAUACAAGAGAGAAUGUUGGCAUGAGUAGCGUAAGGCAGGUGAGAAUCCUGCCCGCCGAAAAUCUAAGGUUUCCUGAGGAAGGUUCGUCCACUCAGGGUUAGUCGGGUCCUAAGCCGAGGGCGAGCGCCGUAGGCGAUGGACAACAGGUUGAUAUUCCUGUACCACCGAAAGUCGUUUGAGCGAAGUGGGGACACAGAAGGAUAAGUUGAGCACGCCGCUGGUAGAGCGUGUCUAAGCGUCAAGGGAGAUGAUAAAGGCAAAUCCGUAUCAUCAAUUCUGAGGCGUUAUGGGGAGGCCGCAAGGCUGGAAGCAACUGAUUUCACACUGUCAAGAAAAGCCGCUAGCGAGACCGUAGGUGCCCGUACCGCAAACCGACACAGGUAGAUGAGGAGAGAAUCCUAAGGUGAGCGAGAGAACUAUUGUUAAGGAACUCGGCAAAAUAACCCCGUAACUUCGGGAGAAGGGGUGCCUACGAAAGUAGGCCGCAGUGAAAAGUCCCAGGCGACUGUUUACCAAAAACACAGGUCUCUGCUAAAGCGAAAGCUGAAGUAUAGGGGCUGACGCCUGCCCGGUGCUGGAAGGUUAAGGGGAAGUGUUAGAGUAAUCGAAGCACAGAACUUAAGCCCCAGUAAACGGCGGCCGUAACUAUAACGGUCCUAAGGUAGCGAAAUUCCUUGUCGGGUAAGUUCCGACCCGCACGAAAGGCGUAACGAUCUGGGAACUGUCUCAACAAUAGACUCGGUGAAAUUGUAGUACCGGUAAAGAUGCCGGUUACCCGCAGCAGGACGGAAAGACCCCAUGGAGCUUUACUGUAGCUUGAUAUUGAAUUUCGGCGUUGCAUGUACAGGAUAGGUGGGAGACUAUGAGAUGAGUACGCCAGUAUUCAUGGAGUCACUGUUGGGAUACCACCCUUGUAACGUUGAGGUUCUAACGGUGUGCCGUAAACCGGCAUCCGGACAGUGUCAGGUGGGCAGUUUGACUGGGGCGGUCGCCUC
rnacentral:rRNA from 1 species